UUGUCUCAAACUUAUAGAGUAGGUAGAAUUUACCUUUGAAUUUUAUCAAAAAAAAACCAACUAUAAAUUCACUUCCGAUCAUUUUGGCAUCUAAGAAGCCCUAGCAGAUGCUCUAAAUCCUAAUUUACAAGUACUUGAGUACUAUUUUCUUAAUAUCUUAAGAAUCCAAUACUCAAAUAUCAUCAAACUUAUGUACAAAGUUUAUUAACAUAAAUUUACACAUUUCUUGAAAUUCAGAGCAAAAACCUUGUCAAAUUGGUUAAGAUAUAGCUCAAGACACAAUCACUAGUAAAUCGGGUCACUUACUAUCCUUAGAUUGUAUGUGCUGACUUCAAAAUCUAAUAACUCCUUUACAUCAACUUCGAAUCCAGUAAGCAGUAUACAAAAAGUGUAGUUGCAAAAAU
rnacentral:lncRNA from 1 species